AUGAAGGAGGAGCUCAAGGUGCUCUACAACACGAGCCGGAAGCUCAAGGUGGCCGGCGAGCGCCCCGUCGGCGACGGCCGCGGCGCGCGAUGGGCGAAGUUUCUCAAGUCGUUCCCGGUGCCUAGGAGCGUCCGUGCCGGCGGCAUCAGGGCCGUGAUGGACAAGGACCAGGCCGUGCUCUACGUCAUCCUGCCCAAGGGAUCACCACUAUCACCACCCCCAGGUCCGCCACCGCCGCCACCACCGUCGUCCAUGGCCACGCAGAAGGAGCAGCAGCCUGGAGGCGCUCUGCCCCCGCCUCACGGAGAGCGGAAAGGCGAUGGCUCGUCGGGCAGCAGCAGCAAUGGCAGCUUCUGGAGCGCACAAGAGGACGCAGAGAAGAACAAGGCUGAAGAGAAGAAUAAUAUGGUGCCUAAGGAGACCAGGAUUCAGAUACAGGAGGAGGAGAUUGCCACACCAGAUGCACCAAGAACCGAUGGUGGUGAUGAUGACAAGAGGUGGUGGGAGAAGCUCACGCCUCUGCAUGCUGUUGGCUUCAUUGUUAUCGUCCUUGCGGUGGUAGGGGUUGGUGCACUGUACGCAACGCUGCUACUCCGAAUCAUGUGUAAAAGACUACAAUUUCUGUACCCUGCCUGCCUAACUGUCAUCUGA
rnacentral:rRNA from 1 species